rnacentral:misc_RNA from 1 species
AGAGUUAAAUAGUACGUGAAAUUGUUGAAAGGGAAACGAUUGAAGUCAGUCAUGCUAGUGAAAAAUCAGUUUGACGGGUUUUGAGUUCGGGAGUAGAGGCAGGGUCAAACCGUUUCUCUUUUGGACUUGGGAUUUGUCGGAUGUACUUUUUCUUUGGCAGGUCAGCGUCGGUUUCGGAGGUUGUAAAAUACUUGGGGGAAAGUAGCUCUGCUUCGGGAGAGUAUUAUAGACCCUGGGGGAUGCGGCCUGUGGGAUCGAGGAUUGCAGCAAAUGCCUUUGGCUUGUCGCCUGAUCUCUGGAUGUUACCUCUCUUGUGACAACAUUCUUGCCACCGGGGAGUACUGAUGCCCAUUAGGUUAGAACGAUCAAAAAUUUGCUAAGGAUGCUGACGUAAUGGCUUUAAACGA